UGCGGGGUAGUGUAACUGGUAACACGCCGCGCUCUGGACGCGGAAAUCCUGGUUCGAAUCCAGGCCCCGCAACAA
rnacentral:tRNA from 1 species